CCCCCAGUAAGGGCGACUGAACGGGGAGGAGCCCAGCGCGGAACCUCGCGCGCCUCGCCGGCUGCGUCUGAGGAAUGUCGCGUUCCGGAGGGGCCUUCUCCGACCACACCGACCCCCCCCAAGUCCGCUUGAACGCGGCCACUGCCCACGGAGGGUGCGAGGCCCGUACGGGGAUUAGGAGUCGGGCGGUCGGACGGCCCCGUCCGUAGAGUCGGGUUGCCUACUAACGCAGCCCAAAGUAGGUGGUAAAC
rnacentral:rRNA from 1 species